rnacentral:rRNA from 1 species
GAUGAACGCUGGCGGCGUGCCUAUACAUGCAAGUCGAGCGAACAGAUGAGGAGCUUGCUCCUCUGACGUUAGCGGCGGACGGGUGAGUAACACGUGGAUAACCUACCUAUAAGACUGGGAUAACUUCGGGAAACCGGAGCUAAUACCGGAUAAUAUAUUGAACCGCAUGGUUCAAUAGUGAAAGACGGUUUUGCUGUCACUUAUAGAUGGAUCCGCGCCGCAUUAGCUAGUUGGUAAGGUAACGGCUUACCAAGGCAACGAUGCGUAGCCGACCUGAGAGGGUGAUCGGCCACACUGGAACUGAGACACGGUCCAGACUCCUACGGGAGGCAGCAGUAGGGAAUCUUCCGCAAUGGGCGAAAGCUUGACGGAGCAACGCCGCGUGAGUGAUGAAGGUCUUCGGAUCGUAAAACUCUGUUAUUAGGGAAGAACAAAUGUGUAAGUAACUAUGCACGUCUUGACGGUACCUAAUCAGAAAGCCACGGCUAACUACGUG